rnacentral:tRNA from 1 species
GGGUCUGUAGCUCAGCUGGUUGAGAGCGCCGCCCUGAUAAGGGUGAGGUCGGUGGUUCAAAUCCACGCCAGACCCACCA